rnacentral:rRNA from 1 species
AUUGAACGCUGGCGGCAUGCCUUACACAUGCAAGUCGAACGGUAACGGGCCUUCGGGUGCCGACGAGUGGCGAACGGGUGAGUAAUGCAUCGGAACGUACCUUUCAGUGGGGGAUAACGUAGCGAAAGUUACGCUAAUACCGCAUAUUCUGUGAGCAGGAAAGCAGGGGAUCGCAAGACCUUGCGCUGAUUGAGCGGCCGAUGUCAGAUUAGCUAGUUGGUGAGGUAAAGGCUCACCAAGGCGACGAUCUGUAGCGGGUCUGAGAGGAUGAUCCGCCACACUGGGACUGAGACACGGCCCAGACUCCUACGGGAGGCAGCAGUGGGGAAUUUUGGACAAUGGGGGCAACCCUGAUCCAGCCAUGCCGCGUGAGUGAAGAAGGCCUUCGGGUUGUAAAGCUCUUUCGGCCGGGAAGAAAUCGCACAGGCUAAUACCUUGUGUGGAUGACGGUACCGGAAUAAGAAGCACCGGCUAACUACGUGCCAGCCGCCGCCGUAAGAC